GGAGACAUAGCUCAGUUGGUAGAGUGUUUGCCUGUUAUGCAGGGAUCUGUGGGUUCAAUCCCCAGCACCA
rnacentral:tRNA from 1 species